CCUGGUAGUGGGGGACAACGUUUCGAAAGGAACGCUAAUACCGCAUACGUCCUACGGGAGAAAGCAGGGGACCUUCGGGCCUUGCGCUAUCAGAUGAGCCUAGGUCGGAUUAGCUAGUUGGUGAGGUAAUGGCUCACCAAGGCGACGAUCCGUAACUGGUCUGAGAGGAUGAUCAGUCACACUGGAACUGAGACACGGUCCAGACUCCUACGGGAGGCAGCAGUGGGGAAUAUUGGACAAUGGGCGAAAGCCUGAUCCAGCCAUGCCGCGUGUGUGAAGAAGGUCUUCGGAUUGUAAAGCACUUUAAGUUGGGAGGAAGGGCAGUAAGUUAAUACCUUGCUGUUUUGACGUUACCGACAGAAUAAGCACCGGCUAACUCUGUGCCAGCAGCCGCGGUAAU
rnacentral:rRNA from 1 species